rnacentral:rRNA from 1 species
UGGGGAAUAUUGCACAAUGGGCGAAAGCCUGAUGCAGCGACGCCGCGUGAGGGAUGACGGCCUUCGGGUUGUAAACCUCUUUCAGCAGGGAAGAAGCGAAAGUGACGGUACCUGCAGAAGAAGCGCCGGCUAACUACGUGCCAGCAGCCGCGGUAAUACGUAGGGCGCAAGCGUUGUCCGGAAUUAUUGGGCGUAAAGAGCUCGUAGGCGGUUAGUCGCGUCUGCUGUGAAAACUCGAGGCUCAACCUCGGGCUUGCAGUGGGUACGGGCUGACUAGAGUGCAGUAGGGGGUGACUGGAAUUCCUGGUGUAGCGGUGGAAUGCGCAGAUAUCAGGAGGAACACGAUGGCGAAGGCAGGUCACUGGGCCGCAACUGACGCUGAGGAGCGAAAAGCAUGGGGAGCGAACAGGAUUAGAUAGCCCUGGUAGUCCAUGCCGUAAACGUUGGGCACUAGGUGUGGGGUCCAUUCCACGGAUUCCGUGCCGCAGCAAAGCGCAUUAAGUGCCCCGCCUGGGGGAGUACGGCCGCAAGGCUAAAACUCAAAGGAAUUG